UACGAGCGCACCCUUGUCCUUAGUUACCAGCACGUUAUGGUGGGCACUCUAAGGAGACUGCCGGUGACAAACCGGAGGAAGGUGGGGAUGACGUCAAGUCAUCAUGGCCCUUACGGCCUGGGCUACACACGUGCUACAAUGGUCGGUACAGAGGGUUGCCAAGCCGCGAGGUGGAGCUAAUCCCACAAAACCGAUCGUAGUCCGGAUCGCAGUCUGCAACUCGACUGCGUGAAGUCGGAAUCGCUAGUAAUCGCGAAUCAGAAUGUCGCGGUGAAUACGUUCCCGGGCCUUGUACACACCGCCCGU
rnacentral:rRNA from 1 species